AGAGUCCUGGAUGGCUGAGCCCCAUUCCCCCAGGAGGUGAGAUUCCUGAUUGGCUGAGCCCCAUUCCCCCAGGAGGUGAGAGUCCUGGAUGGCUGAGCCCCAUUCCCCCAGGAGGUGAGAGUCCUGGAUGGCUGAGCCCCAUUCCCCCAGGAGGUGAGAGUUCUGGAUGACUGAGCCCCAUUCCCUCUGGGAGGUGAGAGUCCUGGAUGGCUGAGCCCCAUUCCCCCAGGAGGUGAGAGUCCUGGAUGGCUGAGCCCCAUUCCCCCAGGAGGUGAGAGUCCAGGAUGACUGAGCCCCAUUCCCCCAGGAGGUGAGAGUCCUGGUUGGCUGAGCCCCAUUCCCCCAGGAGGUGAGAGUCCUGGAUGACUGAGCCCCCUUCCCCAGGAGGUGAGAGUCUCUGAGAUCAGCCAUGGGGCUGGUUCUGUUCCCAUGAGGCUGGAUCUGCACCCAGCACUGCCCUCCCUGGCCUGAGUCUCUGCUGGGCACAGGCUGAGACGGAGAGGUUUGGCCCCUAGUACCCAGGCCCGAGCCGGCUGCACCAUGGACCACCUCCAUCAGUGAAGGGUCAGGCUCCUCCCACUCACUGACUUCCUUCUGAGUCACUAAAGCAUCUUCUGGCUGGAGGCGCCAUGCAGCUUUUGGGGGCUCUGGCCUCUUCCCACCAAGACUCUGCCUCUGCACCCCCCAGGACCCACGUCCUAAGCCCCUCUCCCCACUGGACACCCUGGACUUCUCAGACAUUUUAAUAAAAGUUUUUUCAAAAAA